GUCGUUCCAUCGUCGUGCAUCCCUCUCGCCCCAACGAAUCCAAAAUGGGCCAAGCCCAACAUAUCCAACGCAGUCUCUUGAACACCUCCUCUCUCUCUCUCUCUUCCUCGCAGGCAUGUCGCCUCGCCGCCGCCGGCUCCAAACGCCACUGCUCGAGCACUGCCACCUCCAACCUCCGCCCUACUUCAGCACUGCCCCCCUCCGACCUCCAUCCUCUUGUAUACCUCCCCCCGCCUCCUCCUGCCCCACUCAUGUCGCCCACAGAUCGACACCGCCACCGCCGGCCGCCCCCAUUUUGAAGCCGCCGCUGCCGUUCGUGCCCAGAUCAAUGUCGCCGCCGUCCACAUGUCCCGUCUCAGAUCAAGACGUCUGCCUCCAGCCUGAUUCAUUGUCAACCAGAUCGCGGCCCCGGCGUACCACACCCGUUGGAGCUCCGGUUGCGGCGGCGCUAGGGCCCGGGAGCAGCAAUCAGCACUGGGAGAGGCGAGUAUUCUUCCAUGUAAACUUCAUUCCAUCCUCCCUCCUGAUUCCCCGCCGAUCUGACAAUUUUGUUGCUUGCGGUGCCACCAAAGCCUGAACUGCAACCAUGCACGAGCCUAGAAAGUUUUCAGGUGACACAUGAAGUGGAGCAGCAAAGGUUAAUGGAAGAAAGGGAUAGAGUGACGAGGGAGGAGGCUAAGAGGAGAAUUGUCAAGGCACAACCGCACAACCGAUACUGAAGGAGUUAAGGAGAUCACUUAUGAGAGGUUGCAAGAGGAGAACAAAAUUGCGUAGAAGUGUACAAGGCUGGGCAUGAAAUGAGAGUAACAACAAUGGAUUCUAGCCUCUGGGUGUUGUAAGGUGUGUUGACUAAUAUAUAGAAGAUACUUAAAAGUCCAAAUAUCUGAUGCCCCAUACUGUGCCAUGAUCAUCGUCUGCAAUGGCAACAACCGCCAUGAUCCAGAUUGUGGAGCCCUUUUGCAGAGUUCAGACUCACAAGUACAGAGUUCCCUCCCUGGGCAUCUGGAAUGACACUAAGUGCAGAGUUCCCUCCCUAGGAGUUAAUAUCUCCCUAGGCUAUGACAUUGUAUUGUUAUCACGUAUCCAAGUGAACAAAGUCAUCUUAUUACCAUUAAUAACUCCCUAGGCUAUGACAUUGUAUUGUUAUGACGUAUCCAGACCAUGGGUUGUAAGAACUGAGAUAUUUCUUCAUCCUUUCAUUCUAUCGUGGAAGUUCACCUUCAACGGGUUUCUUUGGCACUGGCUCCUACUGCAAGGUGGUGCAUGUUAUGUCUGAUUCGGAUGUAUUUAUUCACAAAAUAUGUCUAGAUACAUCCAAAUUUACGACAAGAAUUAUGGAAUUGAGGGAGUACAUUCCAUUUAUUUUGCAGCGUGUUACUGGGGUAGACUUGACGUGCAUGAUCUAGCGAUAAAGAUCUUUGAAGGAGACAUGGAGAUGGUGUACGACAGCGCUUUGAAAACCUUUUUGAAACUAUAAAGGUGAAGAGGAGGUGCCAAGCAAUCAAAGUAAACAACCGGCAUAGAUCACAAAAAGAAAUGAUAUACUCCUAUGUUGCUUUUCUCUGUAAGGUCAAAUUUUGACAGACCAAGCUAUCCACUGUUUUUUGUUAUACACAUGAGUCUCACACUUUAUCUCAUGAAAAACAAUACUUUUGGCAGCAAGCAAUUUUUUAUGUUUAUUCGUGUAUUUUUCUUACCGCAUAAGUGGGCCUUCCGUACUUGAGCAAACAAAGCCUAAUAAGAAUGUGCAUGAUGAGUGCUAUCCUUCUCCAUUAAGUAGCAUGAAUUUCCCUUACAUGCAUGCAUGGAGUUAUGUAACUUGGGCUGUAACAGUAACUACAAAGGGCUCAUAUAUAUACAUUAGUUAAGAAUCCUAAGCUUCUUUAAUAUUUAAUAAUGAUUCAAACUUGGUUUUCAUAGAUUAAUUUGUAGUUUGUGAAGACUGUGUAUCCUUAUAUCCCUUCCAUAUAAGGUAUUAUUAAUGGGUAUGACUGCAUGAGGGAGUACGAUAUUAAGUAAAUACAUAAUACCAAAAAUAAUAUUUCUGUCUUGGAUUUUAUACCAUGAUAUUCUUGUGAUCUGCUAUGACCAUUUGGGAACUUGGUCUGAUGCUACUUAUUGAUCUGGUAGCAUUUCUAAACGUAAACUAGAAAGGUCUAAUUGGCACACUGUCCGACUAUUUUUGUAAUUUUCGUGCAGCCAUUUGAUUUGAAAAUUUAAAUGUUAGUAUUUUUUAUUACCGAUUGCUUUUCAAUACAAACUAAUACCACAGAACCAACAAUAUUUGGAAAUAUUUUUCAGUUAUUUGGUGGCUUGCAAAAUCAGGUGAAUGGCUAUACAGGUCUUUCCUCUGUAAAAAUUCUAAUGCGAGCUGAAAAGAAAUAUUUCUUCGUAGAGGUGGUGCACUGGUGCCGAAAUGAAGCAACACCGUAGUUAACGAGCGGACACAGCGGGAUUAAGAUGACAUCUUGUUGCUUAGCAGGAGUGACACUUAUAGGAAAAAUGUAAGAAAAACAUUUUGGUUAAUUAUAUUGUACACUUAACUUUGAUGCAGAACCUCUAUAUAUCUGAGCCGUCACUUUGUUU